AUGUUCCCCGUCAAACAACCUUCAAGAUUUCCUUGAGGAGGGCAGCAGGGGGAAAGUAGCAGACUGGGAGAAACACAAUCAAGUUUUGGAAACAGCAAAGGAGAACAAAGUACCAGCUGCUUACAAUGAAGCAACUGUAUGCCAAAACAAACAG